rnacentral:tRNA from 1 species
UAUUUUUUUAAUAUAAUAAGUAUAUCUGACUUCCAAUCAGAAAGUCUAAUUUUUUAGAAAAAAUAA